rnacentral:rRNA from 1 species
AUUGAACGCUGGCGGCAGGCCUAACACAUGCAAGUCGAACGCGUGGCUGACGGGUGAGUAAUGUCUGGGAACCUGACUGAUGGAGGGGGAUAACUACUGGAAACGGUAGCUAAUACCGCAUACCAUCGGAUGUGCCCAGAUGGGAUUCGCUAGUGGGUGGGGUAAAGGCUCACCGAGGCGACGAUCCAUAGCUGGUCUGAGAGGAUGACAAGCCACACUGGAACUGAUACACGGUCCAGACUCCGACGGGAGGCAGCAGUGGGGAAUGUUGCACAAUGGGCGCAAGCCUGAUGCAGCCAUGCCGCGUGAAUGAAGAAGGCCUUCGGGUUGUAAAGUACUUUCAGCCGGGAGGCGUUAACCGCAGAAGAAGCACCGGCUAACUCCGUGCCAGCAGCCGCGGUAAUAC